rnacentral:rRNA from 1 species
UAACGCGUGGGAAUCUGCCCUGGAGUGGGGGAUAACCGAGAGAAAUUUCGGCUAAUACCGCAUACGACCUGAGGGUGAAAGAUUUAUCGCUCUUGGAGGGGCCCGCGUCGGAUUAGCUAGUUGGUGGGGUAAUGGCCUACCAAGGCAACGAUCCGUAGCUGGUCUGAGAGGAUGAUCAGCCACACUGGGACUGAGACACGGCCCAGACUCCUACGGGAGGCAGCAGUGGGGAAUAUUGGACAAUGGGGGCAACCCUGAUCCAGCAAUGCCGCGUAUCUGAUGAAGGCCUUAGGGUUGU